UACGUAGGGUGCAAGCGUUGUCCGGAAUUAUUGGGCGUAAAGAGCUCGUAGGCGGUCUGUCGCGUCGGCUGUGAAAACCUGGGGCUUAACUCCGGGCCUGCAGCCGAUACGGGCAGACUAGAGUUCGGCAGGGGAGACUGGAAUUCCUGGUGUAGCGGUGAAAUGCGCAGAUAUCAGGAGGAACACCGGUGGCGAAGGCGGGUCUCUGGGCCGUAACUGACGCUGAGGAGCGAAAGCGUGGGGAGCAAACAGG
rnacentral:rRNA from 1 species